rnacentral:rRNA from 1 species
UGGGGAAUUUUGGACAAUGGGGGAAACCCUGAUCCAGCCAUCCCGCGUGUGCGAUGAAGGCCUUCGGGUUGUAAAGCACUUUUGGCAGGAAAGAAACGUCAUGGGUUAAUACCCCGUGAAACUGACGGUACCUGCAGAAUAAGCACCGGCUAACUACGUGCCAGCAGCCGCGGUAAUACGUAGGGUGCAAGCGUUAAUCGGAAUUACUGGGCGUAAAGCGUGCGCAGGCGGUUCGGAAAGAAAGAUGUGAAAUCCCAGAGCUCAACUUUGGAACUGCAUUUUUAACUACCGGGCUAGAGUGUGUCAGAGGGAGGUGGAAUUCCGCGUGUAGCAGUGAAAUGCGUAGAUAUGCGGAGGAACACCGAUGGCGAAGGCAGCCUCCUGGGAUAACACUGACGCUCAUGCACGAAAGCGUGGGGAGCAAAGAGG